UCUCUCGAGUAGACGCUGUCUCUUUAGAUGCGAGGGAAAAAUAGCACUUUAUGGACUUCCACAGAGGACAUCAUGUUUAAUACGGUUCCGGAAAAAUCCAGUCAGAAGAUGUUCACGGAGUUUUCACAAUAACUGCUUCUCAUGAACCGAAGCUGGACGUCUCCUCCUGAAAGUUGGAUUAACGUUACUGUGCACUUCUGGAUCACAGGCUAUUCGCAGCUGGACACAUCCUUCUACACUGUAUGCAAACAUGCAACAUCAUAACACACAGUACAAGGAGUCAGACUGGCAUAUGAGGAGCAAAGGUGUGUAACACAAAUGAUGUAUUUAGCUAAUGAAACCACUACCAGUCUUAAAUGUAUAACUGAUGAUGACAAAGUUUUUUUUCUCUGCAUAAUCAUAGGAACCCACGCAGUAGCAUCGUUUCACAAUGUUUCCAUCACCAUCAUCAGUGGAUGCCUUUGCCGUCCGUACCCUGAGAUUUCAGAUUUGCAGCAAAAAAUUUGACUUUCCCAUUUAUUGGAAUGCUGUGCAGGUUGUACCUUGCAGCCAUCCAUUACAAUGUCACCAAGCCGUAACAAAAGCAAGAGAGGGAAAGUACAAGGCUAUGUUCCCAAAACACACA